rnacentral:rRNA from 1 species
ACUGAGACACGGACCCAGGCCCUAUGGNGCGCAGCAGGCGAGAAACCUUUGCAAUGUGCGAAAGCACGACAAGGUUAAUCCGAGUGUCUCCUGCUAAAGGAGUCUUUUGUCAGUUGUAGAAUCACUGGUGAAUAAGGGGUGGGCAAGUUCUGGUGUCAGCCGCCGCGGUAAAACCAGCACCUCGAGUGGUCAGGAGGUUUAUUGGGCCUAAAGCAUCCGUAGCCGGUUGCAUAAGUUUUCGGUUAAAUCUAUGCGCUUAACGUAUAGGCCGCCGAAAAUACUGUGCAGCUAGGGAGUGGGAGAGGUACACGGUACUCGAUAGGAAGGGGUAAAAUCCUUUGAUCUAUUGAAGACCACCUGUGGCGAAGGCGGUGUACCAGAACACGUUCGACGGUGAGGGAUGAAUGCUGGGGGAGCAAACCGGAUUAGAUACCCGGGUAGUCCCAGCUGUAAACGAUGCAGACUCGGUGAUGCAUUGGCUUGUGGCCAAUGCGGUGCCGCAGGGAAGCCGUUAAGUCUGCCGCCUGGGAAGUACGUACGCAGGUAUGAAACUUAAAGGAAUUGGCGGGGGAGCACCACAAGGGUGAAGCCUGCGGUUCAAUUGGAGUCACGCCG